rnacentral:rRNA from 1 species
AUUGAACGCUGGCGGCAUGCCUUACACAUGCAAGUCGAACGGCAGCACGGGUGCUUGCACCUGGUGGCGAGUGGCGAACGGGUGAGUAAAACAUCGGAACGUACCUUAUCGUGGGGGAUAACGCAGCGAAAGCUGUGCUAAUACCGCAUACGCCCUGAGGGGGAAAGCGGGGGAUCGCAAGACCUCGCGCGAUUAGAGCGGCCGAUGCCUGAUUAGCUUGUUGGUGGGGUAAAAGCCCACCAAGGCGACGAUCAGUAGCUGGUCUGAGAGGACGAUCAGCCACACUGUGACUGAGAAACGGCUCAGACUCCUACGGGAGGCAGCAGUGGGGAAUUUUGGACAAUGGGGGCAACCCUGAUCCAGCAAUGCCGCGUGAGUGAAGAAGGCCUUCGGGUUGUAAAGCUCUUUUGUCAGGGAAGAAACACCGGCUCUAACACAGUCCGGGAAUGACGGUACCUGAAGAAUAAGCACCGGCUAACUACGUGCCAGCCGCCGCGGUAA